GUCCCAAAAUUUGUAAUGACCUCGAAGGGAAUGACGACAUGACUUCUGAGGCCCAUAGCUUGCUGUUCAUGGGAAAAGCAGUCUUGGACUGUCAGCUAUAAUCAGCAGCCAGAAGUUGACAACAGACCUUUAGGAGCAUCAGCACAUGGAAAGUUAUUAACAGACCAUGCCACUCAACAGCCCCAUAUUUCUGUGUUUGAUAUGUCUACGUAUCACCUCAGAGUAACACCAACAAAUCAUUUUACAUUAUCUCUCAAGCGCUGGAGGUUUGAGAACAUCAAUCAAUGGGCGCUUUGCAAGUUUUCAAGAGACCUUCAUCACAAAUGAACUUCUGAAUUAUCACAAAACAAAGAAUAAAGAAAAAUACUUGCGUCUGGUGUACAUCAGAACAGAGCAAAGAAAAUUACACAAGAAUUUAGAAAAGGAAAUCCUUAAGAGAAAGAAGCUGAUCUACGAUUCCCUCAGUGAUUCAAUCCGUGACACCAUGAAGCCAACAUAUGAAGAAUGCGCUGGCAUCCAUGGAAAAUCUUCUUUCUCUAAGAUUCAACAUAAACUGAAAGAUGCCAUUGAGAAAUCCAAAAAUGACAUGUUCUGUGUGGCCAGGCAGAAGAUGCUAGAUGAGUUUAGUAGU